CCAGAAGAGGAGCGUUAACCAGGUAGUUAUUGUGAAGAGAUCAAACUCUAGUGAGCAAUAAUGAGGGGGUAUAACGCCGAGGUAAUGGUAUUUUUGAUAAUAUCUUUAUCGGUUGUGAAAGCUUAAUAGUUAGUUACUAACUAUUAAGUCUUAGGUUGAAUCCUUGCAACUGUCACCUUAUAGGUGGAGAGCUUCUGG
rnacentral:ncRNA from 1 species